AUACUCUCAUGUCGCAUCUCGGCAAAUAGACUCAAUAACCCUUCCCAUUCAUGUCCACCUCGAGCACAAGAGCUAAUAACUGUGUUAUAAGUCAAACAACAACAACAACAACCCAGUAUAAUCCCACUUAGUGAGGUCUGGGAAGGGUAGUGUGUACNNNNNNNNNNNNNNNNNNNNNNNNNNNNNNNNNNNNNNNNNNNNNNNNNNNNUGAGGUCUGGGAAGGGUAGUGUGUACGCAGACCUUACCCCUACCCUUGGGUAGAGAGGCUGUUUCCAAAUAGACCCCAGCAUCCUUCCCUCCAAGAACUUACCACCUUGCUCUUGGGGAGAUUCGAACUCACGACCUCUCGGUUGGAAGUGGGGGUUGCUUAUGUCUGUGUUAUAAGUCAAAAUACUAGGAAUUAUCUUUUCUUGCUUCAUUUUAUCAAGUAGUUGAAGAGAAGUUUCGUAUUGUCCAUUACGGCCAUAAGCAUUAAUAAUAGCAGUGUAAGAGAAUACUGUUCGUGCCACACUAUGACUUGGCAUUUCGUCGAAUAUCUCGAAGGCUUGUCAAGAAGGCCUUCACGGCCUAAUAUUCCAAUCAUGAGAGUGUAAAUGUGCUCAUUGGGCUUGCACCAUAUUUGGCGCUGCAUGUACUCAAAGAGUCGCAGGGACCGCUGCCAAUCGCCACGCGCCGCGAAUUCCUUGAACACGUGGGAGAAGUCAGUGAGAGAGCUUGUUUUUGAAAGUAUCCAAGCACCGGGCGAUGCUUCCACGUGGUGGGAGGCUCGAGAGCUUGUUUAUUAGUGUUUCGACAUCGUAACUGUACUUGCCUUUCUCAACGGUGACCGUUGGGUUGCCUAAGAUGAGCUCUUUUGGCUUGGCUCUAAUGGCGACUGUUAGAAGAAGACGGCGGUGGACGGGGGAGAGCUUUCCGUAGUUUGGGAUUUUGGCAGGGAAUAGGAAACGAUGAGAGGGAGGGACUGGGGUGAGGACUGGGGAGAAUGAGUUGUACGAUAGGGACAUUUUGGUCAAUCUAACAUGUGUCGCUGUCUAAUAAUCAGGAAGUCAACCGACACCGGAAGAUGGAGAGCGAGCGGUGAAGUGGCGGAGCACGGUGGAGCUGAGCUCGGAGUAUGGCGGAGAAGGAGCUAAGGUUUAAGCUGGGGUUUCAAGGAGGAGAAGAAGUAGUUGAACGACACGUGGAUAAUGGUGGCUGUGGAUAAUAAUGGUGUAAAAUAACUGAAAAUUUAUUAUUUUCCUUUCAGCCCCCUGUGCAUUUUGUACUUUUCAAUAUUUUGGGUUCUUUUUCCUUUUGCUCUACUUUGUGUUGCCACAUUAAUAAUCCUCGUCUCAUGACAUUUCAAUGUAAGUAGUAGAACUUAGAAAUUGUUAUUACUCUACUUUUCAGAUUAUCCUUUUCAAGCUUAUUGUAUGAUUUACUUGUUGCAAGUCGAUAUGUACACCGGUCCCUUCAAACCUGUCGGAAUUUUAUUGCCUUGAUUAAUAUCCUAG
rnacentral:lncRNA from 1 species